rnacentral:rRNA from 1 species
AUUGAACGCUGGCGGCAGGCUUAACACAUGCAAGUCGAGCGGUAGCACAGGGGAGCUUGCUCCCUGGGUGACGAGCGGCGGACGGGUGAGUAAUGUCUGGGAAACUGCCUGAUGGAGGGGGAUAACUACUGGAAACGGUAGCUAAUACCGCAUAACGUCGCAAGACCAAAGAGGGGGACCUUCGGGCCUCUUGCCAUCAGAUGUGCCCAGAUGGGAUUAGCUAGUAGGUGGGGUAAUGGCUCACCUAGGCGACGAUCCCUAGCUGGUCUGAGAGGAUGACCAGCCACACUGGAACUGAGACACGGUCCAGACUCCUACGGGAGGCAGCAGUGGGGAAUAUUGCACAAUGGGCGCAAGCCUGAUGCAGCCAUGCCGCGUGUGUGAAGAAGGCCUUCGGGUUGUAAAGCACUUUCAGCGAGGAGGAAGGUGGUGAGCUUAAUACGUUCAUCAAUUGACGUUACUCGCAGAAGAAGCACCGGCUAACUCCGUGCCAGCAGCCGCGGUAAUACGGAGGGUGCAAGCGUUAAUCGGAAUUACUGGGCGUAAAGCGCACGCAGGCGGUUUGUUAAGUCAGAUGUGAAAUCCCCGGGCUCAACCUGGGAACUGCAUUUGAAACUGGCAAGCUAGAGUCUCGUAGAGGGGGGUAGAAUUCCAGGU